UUUUACAAACCAGAAAAAAAAAUGGAGGUUUAAAAGGAAAAAACAGCCCCAGCCCACAAGACUUACGCCAUGCUCCACUUCCCUGUAUUCACUUGCUGUGGCCAUCCUGACCCUGUAUGGCAGAGUGGUUGAGGCUGCGUGGGCUAUUUUGGAGCCAUUUUCCACCACUGCUGGUUUGGAUGAAAGACUUUGCAUUUCUGUGGUAAAUAGUAAAAAUAAAAUUAAGUGCCCG